GCAGACACAUUCCAGCCAAUCAGCAGCAGACCCUCCCUCCCAGACCCUCCCACCUCCUGGACAGCUCACUAAGAAUGCAGCUUCACAAUGAAUGUAAAAUGGAUGCUAUCCAGGAGGUGGGAGGGUCUGGGAGGGAGGGUAUGCUGCUGAUUGGCUGGAAUGUGUCUG
rnacentral:miRNA from 1 species